UACGUAGGGGGCUAGCGUUGUCCGGAAUCAUUGGGCGUAAAGAGCGCGUAGGCGGCCAGAUAAGUCCGGUGUGAAAGUCAAAGGCUCAACCUUUGAAUGCCGCUGGAAACUGUCUGGCUAGAGUCCGGGAGGGGCGAGUGGAAUUCCUGGUGUAGCGGUGAAAUGCGCAGAUAUCAGGAGGAACACCGGUGGCGAAGGCGGAUCUCUGGGCCUUACCUGACGCUGAGGCGCGAAAGCUAGGGGAGCGAACAGG
rnacentral:rRNA from 1 species